GAAUAUUAAGAACUCUUUUAGAACUUGUCUAGCAGGUUUUCUGGUUUCUACUGGAAGUUUCUUACCCCA
ensembl:snRNA U7 U7 small nuclear RNA